rnacentral:rRNA from 1 species
UACGUAGGGUGCAAGCGUUGUCCGGAAUUAUUGGGGGUAAAGAGCUCGUAGGCGGUCUGUCGCGUCUGCUGUGAAAACUCGGGGCUUAACCCCGGGCCUGCAGUGGGUACGGGCAGACUAGAGUGCGGUAGGGGAGACUGGAAUUCCUGGUGUAGCGGUGAAAUGCGCAGAUAUCAGGAGGAACACCGGUGGCGAAGGCGGGUCUCUGGGCCGUAACUGACGCUGAGGAGCGAAAGCGUGGGGAGCGAACAGG